GACGAACGCUGGCGGCGUGCUUAAUACAUGCAAGUCGACUGAAGCAGCGGUAGCAAUAUCGCUGUGGAGGUGGCGCACGGGGGAGUAACACGUAGGUAAUCUGCUUUCAGUUCUGGCAUAACUCCGGGAAACCGGGGCUAAUAGCAGAUGAUGAAGCGGCUCGACAUCGAGAUAGUUGUUAAAGCUAUGGCUUCCGAAGACGAGCCUGCGUCUGAUUAGCUAGUUGGCGGGGUAACGGCCCACCAAGGCAACGAUCAGUAGAUGGUCUGAGAGGAUGAACAGGAACACAGGAACGGUGACGCGGUCCAGACUCCGACGGGGGGCAGAAGUAAGGAAGAUGGCUCAAUGGGAGACAUACUGAAGCAGCAACGGCGAGGAAGGGACGAGGGGCUUUAGCUUGUAAACCUCGGUAGGGAGAGAAGAAAAUCCCAAUCUUUGGGACAUGAUGGUAUCUCAAAAGUAAGCCCCGGCUAACUACGUG
rnacentral:rRNA from 1 species